rnacentral:lncRNA from 1 species
AGAGCAGAAUCUCAGGUGGCACAAGCCUGAGUGAACCGCCAUUUUGGAGAGGGGCCCACAUGUGAGGGAACAGCAGAUGGUAUCUAUCAGCUGAAGGCCAGAGUCCAAAAACCACAAGGAAUUGAAUUCCGCGAACAACCACAUGUUCUGAGAAGAGGAUCAAGAGCCUCCAGCCCUGACCAGCACCUCCAAUGCAGCCUUGUAGGCCCUGAACAGAGGAUCCAGUUAACGUGUACCUGUAACCUCAGAAGUGGACUGUAUCGAGUGCUGUGGAUGAGAAGUCUGAUGCCACUUUGAUCAUUCCUCUCCUCUUACAGGUGAGAUUCAAGCCCUGUCAUGUGAAUAUUCUCAACUUUUCUCCUCUCAAACUAUCCUGAAGAAAAGAAGGCAUCAAGCUGACAAGCUUGGCCCCCAAACAAAUCCUUAGUAACCAGAAGAGAUUGGUAAUUCCAAUUAAAUUGUGAUGCCUGAUAAUCACAUUUUGCUCAUGUUCAGCCUUCUAUGGCUUCAUAGAGG